rnacentral:piRNA from 1 species
UGAGUUUAAGAAAACGAAAUGGAGCAUUA